UUGGAGGGCAAGUCUGGUGCCAGCAGCCGCGGUAAUUCCAGCUCCAAUAGCGUAUAUUAAAGUUGUUGCAGUUAAAAAGCUCGUAGUUGAAUUUCGGGAUCAGUUGAUCGGUCGUGCCUCGGUACGUACUGGUCAAAUUGAUUCCUACCUUCUGACGAACCACGAUGUCAUUAAUUUGGUGUCGUGGGAAAUCAGGACUGUUACUUUGAAAAAAUUAGAGUGUUUAAAGCAGGCUCGCGCUCGAAUACAUUAGCAUGGAAUAAUGAAAUAGGACGUCUGAUUCUAUUUUGUUGGUUUCUAGGAUCGACGUAAUGAUUAAUAGGGAUAGUUGGGGGCAUUAGUAUUCAAUUGUCAGAGGUGAAAUUCUUGGAUUUAUUGAAGACUAACUACUGCGAAAGCAUUUGCCAAGGAUGUUUUCAUUAAUCAAGAACGAAAGUUAGGGGAUCGAAGACGAUCAGAUACCGUCGUAGUCUUAACCAUAAACUAUACCGACUAGGGAUCGGAUGAUGUUAAUUUUUUAAUGACUCAUUCGGCGCCUUACAGGAAACCAAAGUGUUUGGGUUC
rnacentral:rRNA from 1 species